AUUGGUUGAUCCUGCCGGCGGCCACCGCUAUUGGAAUACGAUUAAGACAUGCGAGUCGAGAGACAUUAUGGUCUCGGCGGACCGCUCAGUAACACGUGGAUAACAUGCCCUAAGGUGGGGGAUAAUCUCGGGAAACUGAGGAUAAUACCCCAUAGGUCUUCUAUGCUGGAAUGCUCGAAGGCCGAAAACUCCGGUGCCUUAGGAUUGGUCUGCGGCCUAUCAGGCUGUAGUGGGUGUAAUGGACCCACUAGCCCGUGACGGGUAUGGGCCUUGAGAGAGGGAGCCCAGAGAUGGACUCUGAGACAUGAGUCCAGGCCCUACGGGGCGCAGCAGUCGCGAAAACUUCGCAAUGGGGGCAACCCCGACGAGGGAAUUCCAAGUGCCAGCACUUUGUGUUGGCUGUUCUCCUGUCUAAAAAACAGGAGGAGUAAGGGGCGGGUAAGACGGGUGCCAGCCGCCGCGGUAAUACCCGCGCCCCUAGUGGUGGUCGAUAUUAUUGAGCCUAAAACGUCCGUAGCCGGUCUUUUAAAUCCUUGGGUAAAUCGGGCAGCUUAACUGUCCGAAUUCCGAGGAGACUGGAAGACUUGGGACCGGGAGAGGUCAGAGGUACUUCUGGGGUAGGGGUAAAAUCCUGUAAUCCUGGAAGGACCACCGGUGGCGAAGGCGUCUGACUAGAACGGAUCCGACGGUGAGGGACGAAGCCCUGGGGCGCAAACGGGAUUAGAUACCCCGGUAGUCCAGGGUGUAAACGCUGCGGGCUUGGUGUUGGGGGUCCUUUGUGGGCGCCCAGUGCCGGAGAGAAGUUGUUAAGCCUGCUGCUUGGGGAGUAUGUCCGCAAGGAUGAAACUUAAAGGAAUUGGCGGGGGAGCACCGCAACGGGAGGAGCGUGCGGUUCAAUUGGAUUCAACGCCGGAAAU
rnacentral:rRNA from 1 species